UACAGAGGGUGCGAGCGUUAAUCGGAAUUACUGGGCGUAAAGCGUGCGUAGACGGUCAUGUAAGUCGGAUGUGAAAGCCCCGGGCUCAACCUGGGAAUUGCAUUCGAGACUGCAUGGCUUGGGUGCGGAAGAGGGAAGCGGAAUUUCCGGUGUAGCGGUGAAAUGCGUAGAUAUCGGAAGGAACACCAGUGGCGAAAGCGGCUUCCUGGUCCGACACCGACGUUCAGGCACGAAAGCGUGGGGAGCAAACAGG
rnacentral:rRNA from 1 species